GGGAGGGCCGGUUUGGUGUCCGCGCCUCACAAUGUUUUUGCUGGAAGGAGAGAGAGGACGGCGCUGCUGAAUUAACGAGUGCCUGUUUACCUGGGAAGAAACCAGACUGCCAGAGCCGUGCUGCCGAUAUCCUGCUGACAAUCCCUGAAAAAUAGUUCAGAAGACAAUAAUGGAUUAUUCCUGUGAAAGAGAAGAUUAUAAAAUGGAGCCUGUCCAUAUUAAAGAGGAGAGUCCUGUACUAGAGUCAGUCCAUAUUGAAGAGGAGAGUCCUGUACUAGAAUCAGUCCAUA